rnacentral:misc_RNA from 1 species
GUGAAUCAUCGAAUUUUUGAACGCAAAUUGCGCCUUUUUCGGAAGGCAUGUCUGUUUGAGGGCACCAUUUAACAAAUAAUGUGCAGCGUUUUUUGUUGCACACGUUGAUGAGCUUUCCAAGAAUUUUAAAUUUUUGGUGGCGCAUAAUGAACAGCGUGAAAGUUUUUUUCAGUUCGAGUGUAGUAAAAUUUUUUCUUGCUUGGGUUGUGAAAAGCGUGAUCGCGCAAAUGGGUGUGGCGAUUCUACUAACCCUGCCCCAACGCCACUCUUUCUCGCGAAAGAAUAUUAAUCUUCAGGGCC